GUUCAAGCAGCCGCGGUAACACGGGGGGAGCAAGCGUUGUUCGGAUUCAUUGGGCGUAAAGAGCUCGUAGGUGGCUCUGUAAGUCGGAGGUGAAAGCCCAUGGCUCAACCAUGGAUACGCCUUCGAAACUGUGGAGCUUGAGGCUGGGAGAGGAAAUCGGAAUUCCUGGUGUAGCGGUGAAAUGCGUAGAUAUCAGGAGGAACACCGGUGGCGAAGGCGGAUUUCUGGACCAGUUCUGACACUGAGGAGCGAAAGCCAGGGGAGCAAACAGGAUUAGAUACCCUUGUAGUCC
rnacentral:rRNA from 1 species